GCGAAGAACCUUACCUGGGUUUGACAUACACCAGAUCGCCUCAGAGAUGGGGUUUCCCUUGUGGCUGGUGUGCAGGUGGUGCAUGGCUGUCGUCAGCUCGUGUCGUGAGAUGUUGGGUUAAGUCCCGCAACGAGCGCAACCCUUAUCCUGUGUUGCCAGCACGUGAUGGUGGGGACUCGCAGGAGACUGCCGGGGUCAACUCGGAGGAAGGUGGGGACGACGUCAAGUCAUCAUGCCCCU
rnacentral:rRNA from 1 species